CACACACACACACACACACACCCUCCCUCCUCUCUCUCUCUCUCUCUCUCUCUCUCUCCAUUUUGUGUGCUUUGUAAAAGCAGCACAGGUCUUCUCGCUGUCCGCCACAUGAGGGAUAUUGGACUACUGUUUUGAUGGAGCCAGUGGUCGCCUUGUGCAGGGCCACACAGUAAAGCACAAAUGAGUUCAUCUGUCAAGUGGGGCUGCUCCACUCUCAGUCGCCGUAAGCACAUCCUGUUUCCGUCAGCACAGGAAGUGCACGCUCCACGACACAAGGUUCCCACUGAGGAAGGCAGCUCAGUGUGAUGGAUGUGGUCUCGCUGCUCAGCUCCCUGCGGUGAAGAAAGAGAAAAAGGAGGGGACGUCUUCUGAUUCUCUGACAUUCUUUAAACAUCAGGACGAACUGGCAGAGAUGUCGUUUCGACAGGAAAGGCAGGUUGACAGAGAAGUGGUCUUCUGUUUUGUGUCUGGAUCGUGCACUGAAGAUACACACUCCCAUAACGCAGGAAACAUACAGAACAUGAUCAGUUUAUGACACAUUCAAAAAGCAACAGCGACGGAGGAGGAUCUGAGGAGACAGUGGACUGAUGAAAUGGCUGCUGCUGAGGAGGAACUGAACACUGAAGCCACAAAGACGUUGUCUACCUGCAGGCUCUGGAAGAGGAACACUGUGUCUAGGGGCGUCGCAGGGGGAAAUCUGGAUGGAGAUUUGUCGGGGGGUUAAAGCCUUCUGGUACGCUCUACAGGCCUGAACAAGCGUUAUACAAUUUCUAAAUGAUAUUCAAGGCUCUUCUUGAUUGUUUUCAUGGUGAUGUUUUCUUUCAAAUUAUUCUUCAGUGAUUUUUGCUUUUGUUGUUCCAUCACCAAUUUUAAAACCAUCAAUUAAAAAAUAUUUCUUCUCCAUGAGCAGGCUGUUGCGAUGUGACUCCUACACUUCCGUCUUAUAAUGCUUCAUCUUUUCAGCGAUCUUAAGACGAAAACAGCCGUUCAUUGCAGCCAAGUAGGAUGCAGGUACGUGCACUUAUUUUGAUGCUAUAUUAUGCCACAUUCCACUUUCACUACCAUAUGAAAAAGCUGUACUUUUUUCCCCCCGCUGCAUUUAUCGGACAAAUUCAGUUAUUACUUUACAGAAUAAGAUUUUUGAAUGCAAAAUUCUACAAGUAUGACUAUUUGAAUGAUUAUUCAAGUCAUUCAAACUGCUCUGAUGAUUGUUUAAGUCUUUUUUCCCCCCCAUACAAAAACAAAGCAUUUCAAACAUAUCUGAAGAUUUGCUGCUUUCACUUUAAAGUGUUUUUAAUAAUGUUGAGGUUUGGACUGGAAGUUGGAAAAAACAAACACGGUGAAGGUGUCACCCUGAGCUCUGGGUAAUUAUGACCACAUUUCUCAGCGUUUUUAGAACUUUUACAAACCCAAUCAAUCAAUUCAUAGAAGAGAAAAAAAACAAUAAUCAGCAGAUUAAUCUGUAAUAAUAACAAUCAACACUUUUAAUACUUCAAUUAGAUUUUCUCAAUUGUACUUCCAUCCAUUUUAACAGUUUGAAAGCAGGACCGUGACAGUAUUUUUACAGUGUUGUAUUUGUAUUAUCGCUUAAGAAAAGGCUCUGAAUACUUCCUCCACCACUGAAUGAAAGAAUAUGGUUGGAAUUACUCUUUUGUUUUUGUCACAUAAUCUCAU